rnacentral:tRNA from 1 species
GUCCCUUUAGUUAAAUGGAUAUAACGGAGCCCUCCUAAGGCUCAGUUGUAGGUUCGAUUCCUACAGGGGACG